rnacentral:rRNA from 1 species
GCCCUUAAGGUAACGGCGAGUGAGCGGCAAAAGCUCAAAUUUGAAAUCUGGUACCUUUGGUGCCCGAGUUGUAAUUUGGAGAGUACCACUUUGGGACUGUACUUUGCCUAUGUUCCUUGGAACAGGACGUCAUGGAGGGUGAGAAUCCCGUGUGGCGAGGGUGUCAGUUCUUUGUAAAGGGUGCUCGAAGAGUCGAGUUGUUUGGGAAUGCAGCUCUAAGUGGGUGGUAAAUUCCAUCUAAAGCUAAAUACAGGCGAGAGACCGAUAGCGAACAAGUACAGUGAUGGAAAGAUGAAAAGAACUUUGAAAAGAGAGUGAAAAAGUACGUGAAAUUGUUGAAAGGGAAGGGCAUUUGAUCAGACAUGGUGUUUUGCGCCCCUUGCCUCUCGUGGGCUUGGGACUCUCGCAGCUCACUGGGCCAGCAUCGGUUUUGGCGGCCGGAAAAAACCUAGGGAAUGUGGCUCUGCGCCUCGGUGUAGAGUGUUAUAGCCCUGGGGAAUACGGCCAGCCGGGACCGAGGACUGCG